rnacentral:lncRNA from 1 species
GGGGGUUGGACGCCUACUUCAGGUCGGCGUGCCUCCUGGGCUCUCCCAGUCCUCACGCUCGGGGGCUGGACACCUACUUCAGGUCGACGUGCCUCCAUGGCUCCACCAGUCCUCGUGCUUGGGGGCUGGAUGCCUACUUCAGGUCGGUGUGCCUUUGCGACUCCGCCAGUCCUCGCGUUCAGGGACUGGGCGCUAUAUUUGGAUUCUUUUAUGAUGGUAACAAU